ensembl:lncRNA
UAUAUUUACUGACUAGCAGGUGAAAAACAGCCCACUGAGAUCUGUGCAGACUAGUUCUGGACCUUUAGAAAGCUCUGCCUUAGUGAGAACAUGGACAAAACACACACACUGUACACUCACAAGAGAGAGGACAGACCUGGCUUCAGUAAAAUCAGUUCUAAUAGUUGGUUUUAACCCAUCCUGGUAUACAAAAUGCUGUACCGUUAGCAGAUUAAAACACUAUAAGGGUCUGAUCCAGGUCUUAGCAAGGAGUGAAAUUCAUUUGUCGUCAAACAUGGGACCUUUGUCCUUUCCUGUCAGCAGUGCAGGUUCAUAAAACCAACAUAUGAAGAAGAAAACAAAAAAAAAACAAAGAUAAGAUGAAGGUUAAUAACUUAAAUGGGGGCAGAAUAAAUGUAAACUGUCCCUCAGUAAGUGAGAAAGAGAUAAAGAGAGAGGACACUGAGGUGUUCUGAGGUGGUUUUGGCAUUUUCCAUUUUUUUUUUUUAAAUUUAAUUUUUUUAUUUUUAAAUAAUCAAGCACCACAAGUGGUGACUUUCUGAUUCAGUGCCAAGUCCAACAACCUCUACAGAGCUCCACCAAGAAGCUCACAUGUCAAACUCUACACCUUAAUGAUGUCCUUCAGAGGAAACCAAAGGAUUUGUUCUUUUGUUUUUACUCUUUUUUUUCUUUAAAUCCUCAGUCGGAGGCCUUGUAAAUGUAAGACACAUUUUUUCCACUAAAACAUAAGUCUAACAGAGACUACAAUCCUCCUAAUAGAGGAAAGUGGAGUUUUAGACCCCUUUUAUUGUGUAGUAGCUGGCUCAAUAUUUGCCAGUAAAGUCUUGGCUAUCAGUGAGUCUUGUGCAGGAUUAACUCCCCUCAGCGCAGAACUGAAAACGAGAUGGAGAAACUUGUAACAGCAGAAUGGGCGCAAAGGUUUGGCGAUUGUUUUCAGCCCAUCUGGUGGUUUUAGAUCUGUGUCAAGCGUUGCUGGGGAGUCAGCUCCGGACAAGGCUGGCGACUCUAAACAGGCGAGGCUCAGCACUAGGAGCAGCUUAGGGGCCGAUUACAUUUCAAGUGUCCAUUGAAUAAAACAUCAGAAAAAUGAAAACAAAAACAAACAAUGGCUACAUUUUCUUAACCCCG